GACGAACGCUGGCGGCGUGCCUAAUACAUGCAAGUAGAACGCUGAAGGAGGAGCUUGCUUCUCUGGAUGAGUUGCGAACGGGUGAGUAACGCGUAGGUAACCUGCCUGGUAGCGGGGGAUAACUAUUGGAAACGAUAGCUAAUACCGCAUAAGAGUAGAUGUUGCAUGACAUUUGCUUAAAAGGUGCAAUUGCAUCACUACCAGAUGGACCUGCGUUGUAUUAGCUAGUUGGUGGGGUAACGGCUCACCAAGGCGACGAUACAUAGCCGACCUGAGAGGGGAAUCGGCCACGCUGGGACUGAGACACGGCCCAGACUCCUACGGGAGGCAGCAGUAGGGAAUCUUCGGCGAUGGACGGAAGUCUGACCGAGCAACGCCGCGUGAGUGACGAAGGGUUUCGGAUCGUAAAGCUCUGUUGUGAGAGAAGAACGAGUGUGAGAGUGGAAAGUUCACACUGUGACGGUAUCUUACCAGAAAGGGACGGCUAACUACGUG
rnacentral:rRNA from 1 species